rnacentral:rRNA from 1 species
AUGGAGGGGGAGCCGCCCGCGCAGGGCCCGGCCCUUAGCACCUCCGCCGUCUCCGGCUCCGGCGGCGGCAGGGAGAAGGGCGCCCUGUGCCAGGAGUGCGAGGAGCAGCCGUGGAAGUACCGGUGGCCGGGAUGCUCCCGCCUCACCUAUAGCCUCCCUUGUGUGCAAGCCCACAAGCGCCGCACCGCCUGCUCCGGCAAGCGCCCCCACACCGUCCCCGUCCCGCUCGCCCAGUUCGACGGCAACCAGCUCCUCUCUGAUUACAACUUGGUGGAGGAGAUGAGCCAGGUUAGGGAGUCGGCCCACAGGCUACUCGACGGCUUCGGACGCAACUUCGAUUGCGGCUUCGUGGGACGCCAUGGCGCCCAGCUGCCGCUGUGGCUCUCCUUCCUCCGCAAGGCCGUGGAGCGCCGGGGCGUCCGGCUCGCCGUCCAAACUCCAUGGACCAUGUUUGUAACUUAUUGCCUCUCUGCCCGCUCGCUCGCCAGCGGCAGCAUCGCACAUCGAGAAAAGCUGAACACUCUCAAGGACCAGCUUAGGGGACUGGAGGCAGGUCCAGCAGAGGCUCUGUCCAGUUCAUUGAUGACAGCCAAGGGUUCAUGCUCGGAAAUGACUACAUCUUGCUCCAUGUUGUCGGCUCAGCUAGAGUCCUUAAUCAUGAGGAGAUGGGACACGUAG